GAUGAACGCUGGCGGCGUGCCUAACACAUGCAAGUCGAACGAAGCGCCUGGCCCCGACUUCUUCGGAACGAGGAGCCUUGCGACUGAGUGGCGGACGGGUGAGUAACGCGUGGGCAACCUGCCUCAUACAGGGGGAUAACAGUUAGAAAUGGCUGCUAAUACCGCAUAAGCGCACAGCAUCGCAUGAUGCCGUGUGAAAAACUCCGGUGGUAUGAGAUGGACCCGCGUCUGAUUAGGUAGUUGGCGGGGUAACGGCCCACCAAGCCGACGAUCAGUAGCCGACCUGAGAGGGUGACCGGCCACAUUGGGACUGAGACACGGGCCCAGACUCCUACGGGAGCAGCAGUGGGGAAUAUGCACAAUGGGGGAACCUGAUGCAGCGACGCCGCGUG
rnacentral:rRNA from 1 species